GUAUCAUUGUGUACAGAGGUUUCUACUUUGGCAUCUUCGACACGGUGCGCCCCAUGCUGCCCAAGGACGCGAGCUUUGCCAUCACCUUUGGCGUGGGUUA
rnacentral:ribozyme from 1 species